AUUUGUUGCCUUUAAUUCCAACAAGAGAGGAUAGUGUAACAAAAACACGAAAAUUUCAUCAUACACUUUGGCUUCUCCAAGGUCCUCGGCAGCGCUAAUAAAACUGUCCAGUGUGCGAGUUCUACGCAGUGCCAACUCGAAUCACACUCCGGUCAGCGGAUUUUUCGCCUCGUCCGCCGCAUCUCUCUGGACCGCAGACAUCGCGACACAUCAACCAAAGCUCUGAUGGCUGCAACUUGGCAAAGGACAGGAAUGGCUGCAAGGUAUUUGGGUACUGAAGAGCACCUGGCCGUUUCCUUGGACACCAAUUUGACCAGGUUGAUGGCAAAAUCAGCAGGCAGAGUUCCAUCUUGCUCGACCAGCACUCUUGAGCAAAACAGACGGUCAAGGAAGCGCAUAAGAGGCUCUGUGAUUCUGUUUUGACCCUGAUGCUCCUCAAAGAUGUUCAAAAUGCACUUUGAAAUGCGGGCCAACUCUUCACGUGACUGCUGGCCGAGAUAUUCAAACAAUGCGCUGCUUGAAUGCUUCACCUGCAAUUGCAAUGUACGUUUGAUUAAUUAUUUUUUUUUAAUUUUAAGAUAGUUCACUUUUAAUUUUGACAUAGCUAGAUUAUUAAUAUUAUUAAAGCUUAAUUGAUUAUUCAUUGAGCCUGAGUAUAAGACACAAAAAAUAACAUAAUUGACUUAAAGCAGGCAAAUAAUCUUUUCUGGGGAGAUGGCAUGUGCAAUUUGUUUGAAUUUAAUUUUACUGAAAUAAAAGAUGAUAUUUUAAAAAUCAUUAGAUACCAGAGUUAAAAUUGGCAUGUAGCAGAAAAUGAAGACAGAAUUGAAUAAUAUGAUACAAUUUUGUAAUUACCAGAGAUUCAGUAAGUCCACCGACGCUGGCAACAAGUCCCAUUAGAAUGUGGCUCGUGUAAGGUGGGAGGGCGAGCAUGCGGGUGAAGAGUGGAAAAGUCUGAACUUCAGCGCUCCAGUUGAUUUCGCGGCAGAUUUCAAGUGUGAAGAUUUGCAGGAGAGACUCAAGGCAGGGAAUUUUGUUGUUGGUUGGAUGGCUGUGAAUUUUAUUGAGGUGAAAUUAACUUUGAUGUAUAAAUGCUGAAAUCACCAACCUGUAUAAAAGAUUGCUAAAGACCUUGCCAGCAUGUUUCCUGGUCCUGUCAAUUCUCUCAACAGCGUUUCGGGAUACCAUGCCAACCACUGUAGUCAUCAGCUCUUCAGUCAGAACACAAGGUUUAGAGAUCAACGCCAGCUGCACUGUGCUCUGAGAAAAAUAGUUGAUGUUACAUUACUUGGGCAAUUUAACCAGUUGACUAUUUUAUAUAAGCUAUGUAUUUUUGAGUGAGCGGAAAGCUUGAUUUUUUAUCAAGAGUUGCACCUCAAAUUUAUAUCACUCUUGUGAAAAAAAGUAAAUUUCGCUAGUACUCUUUGCCCUUUCUUGCUGUGUAUGACCUGAUAAUUUAUUGUAUUUUAUUUUACAUGACUAGUGCAAGAAUAAACAAGAAUAUAAUCCUGAUUUAAAUAGUGGCUAAAGAUGACUGAAACCCGAAUUUUUAGACAAAAAAUAUAGAUCUUCAUUGCCAAAGUGUGGACAAUAAGCAAUAACUUACUUGAAAACAUUAAAAUUCCCUCUCAGCUAUCAAUAUUUUCGCAGUAGCUUACAAUUCAAGUAAUGAAACACAAUUUUUUCUGGGUCUUCUUGAUAUGUUUGUUCUAGGAAAAAAAUUGUAACCGAGAUUGUUGUAAGAAAUAAAAUUAUUUGGAAUCUCGAAUAAUUUUGAAUGAUGUCUUAUUAGGGUAUAUUCUAUUUCUUUGAACAAUCGUUAAAUUUGACUUAAUAUUUCUGAAAAUGACUCUAGUGCCACAAAAAAAUUGAGCCUAUUUCUUUGUCUAUUUGAUUGAUAAAUCCACAUAAAGUGGAUUCUUUUGAUAAGAAAACAUAACAAAUUUCCUUUACCUACGAGUUAUAGUACACAAAUAAUUUUCAAAUCCAACUAAACAAUGAGAAGUUCAAUGUACUUGUCCAUCUGCAAAAAAUGAGAGUAUUUUCACCUGAAGACCGGACAUGGAAGCUUCCCGGACCCAAGCUCCAACAUCACCGCGGCUGUCUCUGGUGUAGUCAUUAAGGCCAUCAAUGAAACGGUGAAAAACUAUGGCCGAUUGGUUAGGAUACCACCAACUUUCAUCCCCUACAAGAAAAUGAGAACAUUUUUUAACUGUAUUCAACAUUUCAAACAAAACGUGAAUUUGGAUUGCCGUUAAAUUUACCUUGGGCAGAUGGAGUUGUGCCUGUUGUGGCGCAAACGGCAGAAAGGGCCAGUAGAGCAUCCCUUCUGCUUUCAGUCCAUUUUGUCGUUUCAGCUGUGAUUUCGGAACAUUUCGCAAGUGUGUGAAUAACCGACGCGCUCACCCCUUCAAACAUAAAUCUUGGCAAAGCGCCUGCAAAAAAAUGGGUAAUUAUAACCCGACAACUAUCAGUGCUUGAUUGCAUUACCAACGGCUUUGCAGAAACCCAUGCGGGUAGUUUCAGCCUGUAUGUUUGACAGAGCCUCUAGCAAUAUGGUUAUCAGUGUUGACUGUCGAGGCAGGAUUUUGCCCUCGAGGUCUUUGCAGAAGUGCUCGCAGAAUGCUGGCAGAGCUUCAACAGACCUUGUUCUGGUCUGUGGAUCAACUUGCUUCAUCGAGUCUAUCAUGACCUUCUGCCAGUCCUCUGAAAGUUAGAAUUUUUAAGUGUUGUGGAGAGAGUUCAAAGUGAUAAUUGUACCUAAUGUUUGAGUGUGCUCGUGGAAAGGCAUUUUGGCGAUGGAGGCAUUCUUGAUGAAGCUCAGCACAGCCUGUCUCAUCAAAUCCCCUCCCAUGCCUUGGAAUUGGUGCCUUUUGCCAAUCUGAGUCACCAAGUCUCUUGUUUCAGUCAAAGUGGCAUCAUCUAAAGAGGAUUUUUUGCUUAUUUUAUCGGAAAGAAUAUAAAAGAUUUAGAAACUGCACCUAACAAUUUCAUCAUUUCCUUUUCUUGCGGGCAUUUUGAAAAACCAGCCAGAACUUCUCCUACAGCGGUUAUCGAUCCAUGGCGAGUGUGCAGAUCAAUAGAAGAGGUGAGGCGGAGCAGCUCAGGAAGCACUAUUUUCGCCAUGUACUCAGGGGCAAGAGGCGUCAGUUUGUGCAGAGCCUGGUUAGAAAAUAAAACUCUUUCACAAGCAAUUGAGAGCGCCAAAUAUUUACCUUAGCUGCCAACUCGCGGAUAGAAAUAUCCCAGUGAUCAACCUUUUUCUGCAGCAGGUGGUCAAUCAGAGGCAGGGUAUACUCCUCAAAUUGCGCGAUCUGAACCCUAGAUUUCAUAACAUGAGCACAAGAAAAGAAGUCAGCGGUGGUGAUGAUUUCGAGUCCAUGAGGAAAUGUACCUUGCCUUCCAACGUUCUCUUGGAAAGCGGCAGAUGCUGCUCUUCGACAGUUAAUCUUUAAGAACGUUAUUUAAUAAAUGAUGCACCAA